UCUCUGUUGGUCCAGUGGUUAAGACUCUGCACUCCCAAUGCAGGAGAUACAGGUUUGAUCCCUGGUUGGGAA
rnacentral:tRNA from 1 species